rnacentral:rRNA from 1 species
ACAGUCACACGAGUUUGAUCCUGGCUCAGAUUGAACGCUGGCGGCAUGCCUAACACAUGCAAGUCGAACGAGACCUUCGGGUCUAGUGGCGCACGGGUGCGUAACACGUGGGAAUUUGCCUCGGGGUAUGGAAUAACUCAGGGAAACUUGAGCUAAUACCAUAUAAUGUCUUCGGACCAAAGAUUUAUCGCCCUGAGAUAAGCCCGCGUAGGAUUAGCUAGUUGGUGGGGUAAAGGCUCACCAAGGCGACGAUCCUUAGCUGGUCUGAGAGGAUGAUCAGCCACACUGGGACUGAGACACGGCCCAGACUCCUACGGGAGGCAGCAGUGGGGAAUUUUGGACAAUGGGCGCAAGCCUGAUCCAGCAAUGCCGCGUGCAGGAUGAAGGCCUUCGGGUUGUAAACUGCUUUUGUACGGAACGAAACGGUGAGCUCUAAUACAGCUUGCUAAUGACGGUACCGUAAGAAUAAGCACCGGCUAACUACGUG